AGAGACAGCAGCCGCCGCGGUAAUACGAGGGGUGCAAGCGUUAUUCGGAUUGAUUGGGAGUAAAGGGUGUGCAGACGGCUUAUUAAGUCACUUGUUAAAUUCUUCGGCCUAACUGAAGGUCUGCAAGUGAUACUGAUGAGCUAGAGGGUGGAAGAGAGAAGUGGAAUUCUCGGAGUAGCGGUAAAAUGCGUAGAUCUCGAGAGGAACACCAAUGGCGAAGGCAGCUUCUUGGUCCAUUCCUGACGUUCAUACACGAAAGCGUGGGGAGCAAACAGGAUUAGAUACCCGCGUAGUCCCUGUCUCUUAUAC
rnacentral:rRNA from 1 species